GGAGGGGGAGGGGGAGAGAGCAAAUCAUUUAUAAAGAAACAAAAAAAUUGGUCUGCUAUCAGAUGGUACAUUUAUUUCAACACAAAAUGCAAGAAAGCUUCACGGUCUCAUGAAGAGGGCAUGCUUUUGAAUUAAUUCCGACUGAUCUGAAAUUCACUUAAAUUUUGUUGUUGAUUGAUCUGCAGUUAUUUUUUAUUUGUAGAGAAGUUCCGCAUUUGAGAAGCCGGAGAAGAGUAUCUCACUAAGUACAGAUUCGAGUGACUUUGCCAACUUGCUGACAUGGGGUCUCGUUCAGAGCACAAGCUUCACCUGAAUAACCUUCUUUCAGUUAGUAAAACACUCAGCAAAGAUUGGUGAAGAUAAAGCUGCCGAUGUGGUGCUCACUGCUCACCUCGGAUGCAAUUCAAAAUUAUGUUGAUUUAUGUUCCUCUGUGUUACAGUUUAUUCUGGUUUUUAGAAAUACUAAUAUUUUUUCAGCAAGGACAAUGACUAUUCUUAUUUUGACAUAGAGUGUGGUAGAUGAACAUGUCCUCAUUUCAGGUUGAAGGCAUUCCAAAUUCACUUAUAAUAGAAGCUCAAUAAUGCACUUAGUCUACCACCAAAUUCAAAUUAUUGAAAGAUCAAUCCAACAUUAAUUUGCCUCAGAUACAGUCUGGUGCAUUUUCCUUAACAUGACACUCUUUUUAGAGUGAUAACCUUCAUUUCAGGUUGACGGCAUUCCAAAGAAACUUCAAGAUUGCAAGAUAAUGAAAGCGUAAUUACAUUUUUUUUUGCAAUGGCAAGGUGAAAUUGUAUAAAAGAGACAAAGAAGAGUUGCUUCAUGUCCUUAAUCAUCGGUGUGCACCAACGCAGAAAAGUGGUGAUAACUUUCUCAUGAACUUUUAAUUUUCCCCUCCACUCACAAAUUGAUGGCUUUAUCUAAUUGUAAGAUAGGCACAUUGCAAGGUGUAUUUAGACAUCAUUAGUGAUAAAUGUAAAAAAUAUUUAUCCCUUGUAUUCGUGUUUUCAGCAUGAUCCUUCCAAGUACAUGUUUUAUGUUUCUAUUUGUAGCACUGUCAUAUGUUAGACCUAAUGCCUUGCUAAAUGUCCUAUGCAGGCCA